UACGUAGGGGGCGAGCGUUGUCCGGAAUCAUUGGGCGUAAAGCGCGUGUAGGCGGCCCGGUAAGUCCGCUGUGAAAGUCCAGGGCUCAACCCUGGGAUGCCGGUGGAUACUGUCGGGCUCGAGUCCGGAAGAGGCGAGUGGAAUUCCUGGUGUAGCGGUGAAAUGCGCAGAUAUCAGGAGGAACACCAAUGGCGAAGGCAGCACUCUGGUACGUGACUGACGCUGAGACGCGAAAGCGUGGGGAGCAAACAGG
rnacentral:rRNA from 1 species